rnacentral:rRNA from 1 species
UGGGGAAUAUUGCACAAUGGGCGGAAGCCUGAUGCAGCGACGCCGCGUGAGGGAUGACGGCCUUCGGGUUGUAAACCGCUUUUGAUUGGGAGCAAGCUUUCGGGUGAGUGUACCUUUCGAAUAAGCGCCGGCUAACUACGUGCCAGCAGCCGCGGUAAUACGUAGGGCGCAAGCGUUAUCCGGAAUUAUUGGGCGUAAAGAGCUUGUAGGCGGUUCGUCGCGUCUGGUGUGAAAGCCCAUCGCUUAACGGUGGGUUUGCGCCGGGUACGGGCGGGCUAGAGUGCAGUAGGGGAGACUGGAAUUCCCGGUGUAACGGUGGAAUGUGUAGAUAUCGGGAAGAACACCAAUGGCGAAGGCAGGUCUCUGGGCUGUUACUGACGCUGAGAAGCGAAAGCGUGGGGAGCGAACAGG